AAAAAAGCAGGGGCCCAUUGUCUCUACGAACAAGCCUCUCGUAAACUUCAGGGAAAUUGCUCCCAUUGUUAUUGGGUGAACCUUUGUAGGCUUUCUUUGUGACAAAAGGUUCAGUAAAUAAUGGCACAUUA